UGCAGCGGAGAUGGCAGUUCUAACUUAUGUAACCUUUAUUUAACUAGGCAAGUCAGUUAAGAACAAAUUCUUAUUUACAAUGACGACCUGCCAAAAGGCAAAAGGCCUCCUGCGGGGUAGGGGGCCUGGGAUUAAAAUAAAUAAAUAAAUAAAUUCAAUACAGUAUGAAUAUGAAUAUGAAUAUAUAGAGAGACCUAAGACAACAACAUAGCAAGGCAGCAACACAUGACAACACAGCAAGGCAGCAACACAUGACAACACAGCAAGGCAGCAACACAUGACAACAUAGCAAGGCAGCAACACAUGACAACACAGCAAGGCAGCAACACAUGACAACAUAGCAAGGCAGCAACACAUGACAAUACAGCAAGGCAGCAACACAUGACAACAUAGCAAGGCAGCAACACAUGACAACACAGCAUGGCAGCAACACAUGACAAUACAGCAUGGCAGCAACACAUGACAAUACAGCAAGGCAGCAACACAUGACAAUACAGCAAGGCAGCAACACAUGACAACACAGCAUGGUAGCAACACAUGACAACACAGCAAGGCAGCAACACAACAUGACAACACAGCAUGGUUUGAUUUGAUGACGGACCGUAACAAAUCAAGUUUCACUUUCAUUGUUUUCUUUGUAAUGAGAGGUGAGGUAGUUAGUACCAGUUCUUUGUAAUGAGAGGUGAGGUAGUGUAUACCAGUUCUUUGUAAUGAGAGGUGAGGUAGUUUAUACCAGUUCUUUGUAAUGAGAGGUGAGGUAGUUUAUACCAGUUCUUUGUAAUGAGAGGUGAGGUAGUUAAUACCAGUUCUUUGUAAUGAGAGGUGAGGUAGUUUAUACCAGUUAUUUGUAAUGAGAGGUGAGGUAGUUUAUACCAGUUCUUUGUAAUGAGAGGUGAGGUAGUUAAUACAUGGGCGUGAUUGAUGGCACUGGGCACAGUGUUUGACUCGCCACUUCGUCUUGCCCGCUCUGGCACACCAAUGGAGACCAGUUGAUAGAAGCAAUUAAUUGCAGAGGAAAUUCCCGAAAUCAAAAGGAAAUGGGUGGGAGGAGGUGUUGUUGGCAAACUGAGAGCAUAAUUCCAAUGCGCUCUCUUAUUAUGAAACAUAGUAAAUAGGGAAUAUAGAGAAUAGGAAACAGGAAAUAGGGAAUAGGAAACAGGAAAUAGGGAAAACAAAUCAUAGUGGUUAGAAGGGAUGAUCUGUUGUAUAUUUAGAGGAAAAUACAAUAUGUUUCUGUGUGGACAUUAAUCCCUUGAAUGUGGUGAUAUGAGAACACCAAGCAAACCCCUCUACCACCUCACUGUGUUUAAUAGAAGUACUACAACUCAAAAUGGAGGCCGACAUUAUAUUUGUGUGUUGCAUAAAGCUUUUCUUCUUCUUUUACGCUUCGUUAAGUUAGCUAAGUAAUA
rnacentral:lncRNA from 1 species